AGCGAACGCUGGCGGCAGGCCUAACACAUGCAAGUCGAACGGCUCUUCGGAGCAGAGGCGGACGGGUGAGUAACGCGUGGGAACGUGCCCUUUGGUUCGGAACAACACAGGGAAACUUGUGCUAAUACCGGAUGUGCCCUUCGGGGGAAAGAUUUAUCGCCAUUGGAGCGGCCCGCGUUGGAUUAGGUAGUUGGUGGGGUAAUGGCCCACCAAGCCGACGAUCCAUAGCUGGUCUGAGAGGAUGAUCAGCCACACUGGGACUGAGACACGGCCCAGACUCCUACGGGAGGCAGCAGUGUGGAAUAUUGGACAAUGGGCGAAAGCCUGAUCCAGCAAUGCCGCGUGAGUGAUGAAGGCCUUAGGGUUGUAAAGCUCUUUUACCAGGGAUGAUAAUGACAGUACCUGGAGAAUAAGCUCCGGCUAACUCCGUGCCAGCCGCCGCCGUAAUAC
rnacentral:rRNA from 1 species